rnacentral:lncRNA from 1 species
AGAGAUCCGGUUGAAAUUCUCCAUCGCAAGGUAGCUUCCGAGGUCAUAGAUUCAUUUGAUUUUCAACCGCGUAUCCCCUUCCACCUAUCGACCUACACCGGCCGUGCCUGUCCUGAAGAGGGGAACCAGUCGAUCUCAUCUUCCUCCUCGGCUUGCCAGAUGGUAAAACGUUCAAGAAGCCGCGGCGCCCUUACGAGAAGGAGCGUCUGGAUCAGGAGCUGAAGCUCGUCGGAGAAUACGGGCUGCGGUGCAAGAGGGAGCUGUGGAGGGUGCAGUACGCUCUGAGUCGCAUCCGCAACGCCGCCAAGGAGCUCCUCAAGCUUGACGAGAAGGACGAGAAGCGGAUCUUCGAGGGGGAGGCGCUCCUGCGCAGGAUGAACAGGUACGGCCUGCUCGACGAGAGCCAGAACAAGCUCGACUACGUCCUCGCGCUGACGCCGGAGCACUUCCUCGAGCGCCGCCUCCAGACCCUCGUUUUCAAGUCUGGAAUGGCCAAGUCCAUCCACCAUGCCCGAGUGCUCAUCAGGCAGCGCCACAUCAGGUACUCCGAAUCAAUCUCUCCCGGAAGUAUUUCCUCUUCAUUCAUUCAUAAUUAUUCUCUGAAUUGGUUCUAAUGACCGGCAUGAGAAAGAGGAAGGUAAAUCGGCUGGUAGUGCAUCCUGCAUCGGUACAUAUACUGUGUAUGAUGAUCGAAUCGUUGACUUUUUAGAUCCGAUCAUCCCUCGACGUCCAUCUCCCUCCU